rnacentral:rRNA from 1 species
CUAUACAUGACUCUGCGCAUAUCAUAAGCGGAGGAAAAGAAACUAACUAGGAUUCCCUUAGUAACGGCGAGUGAAGCGGGAAGAGCUCAAAUUUGAAAUCUUCAAGGUUUACCUUGACGAAUUGUAGUUUAUAGAAGUGUUUUCUGUUAGUAGAGUGGCAAAAGUUCUCUGGAAUAGGACAUCAUAGAGGGUGAGAAUCCCGUAUUUGGUCAUUCUUUCUAGCUUUGUGAUACACUUUCAACGAGUCGGAUUGUUUGGGAAUGCAGUCCAAAAUGGGUGGUAAAUUUCAUCUAAAGCUAAAUAUUGGCGAGAGACCGAUAGCGAACAAGUACCGUGAGGGAAAGAUGAAAAGAACUUUGAAAAGAGAGUUAAACAGUACGUGAAAUUGUCAAAAGGGAAGCGUUUGACACCAGUGUUGUUUUUCGAAAAUCAAUUACGGAAUGUUUUGUUUUUGAGGAGUUAUGACUUCAUCGGCUUGCUUCUCUCUUUACGAAACUUUCUUAAUGCACCUUUCGGUUAACAAGUCAACAUCAAUUUCUUUUGUUGUAAAAGGGUAUGAGGAAGGUGGCUUUCUUUUCGGAGAAAGUGUUUAUAGCCUUGUAGCCUCUGCAAUCGGAGAGAUUGAGGUCUGCAGCGUAGAUCCUUCGGGGUUAGAUACAUUUGUGCUAAGUUAUAGCUUUUCAUAGACAACUUGUUGACUAUGUUUAGUCUUGUAGCUUACUCGCUUAUGCUAUUUUACCUACGCUUAGGAUGUUGACACACGCGCGUGCUCG